GAUGAACGCUGGCGGCGUGCCUAAUACAUGCAAGUCGAGCGAACAGAUAAGGAGCUUGCUCCUUUGACGUUAGCGGCGGACGGGUGAGUAACACGUGGAUAACCUACCUAUAAGACUGGGAUAACUUCGGGAAACCGGAGCUAAUACCGGAUAACAUAUUGAACCGCAUGGUUCAAUAGUGAAAGGCGGCUUUGCUGUCACUUAUAGAUGGAUCCGCGCCGUAUUAGCUAGUUGGUAAGGUAACGGCUUACCAAGGCAACGAUACGUAGCCGACCUGAGAGAGUGAUCGGCCACACUGGAACUGGGACACGGUCCAAACUCCUACGGGAGGCGGCGGUAGGGAAACUUCCGCAAUGGGCGAAAGCCUGACGGAGCAACGCCGCGUGAGUGAUGAAGGUCUUCGGAUCGUAAAACUCUGUUAUCGGGGAAGAACAAAUGUGUAAGUAACUGUGCACAUCUUGACGGUACCUGAUCAGAAAGCCACGGCUAACUACGU
rnacentral:rRNA from 1 species